rnacentral:rRNA from 1 species
GUCUGUUUAACUAUGGCAGUAGAAAGUGUUUUAGGGUGAGUCGCAUAAAUGUAGUUUAUCACUUUUGGAGCAGCGUCAGUGUUUGUUUGAUUAGCGAUUAGUAUUUUAUUUGAGCGUAAGCUUUAUUAAGGGCCUUAAAGUGUGGAGGGGAUCAGGCACAGUGCCAGCAUCCGCGGUUAUUCUGUUUUCUCUGCUUUUUUGUGGUUUAUUCUUGAGGUAGGUAUAAAUAAGUUUAGGUGAAAUUUUUUUGUUUUUGUUACUAUUAUCUCUUGGUGCAGUAAGUAAUUGUGUAGUGAGGGGGAUUAGAGACCCCCGUAACUAAUUAUUUAAUUGAGCUUAGUUUUAUAACUAAAAUAGUUUGGCAGUGAGUUAUUCCGGUCAGGGGAAGGUGUGUUUUUAAAGGACGAUCCGCCUAUUAAUUUACCUCGGCUAUGUUGGUGUAUAUCUGGUUUAAUAUUAUUGCUUAGUUGCUUGAAUUUGUGUAUUAAUAUUUAAGCUAAGUCUAUGUGCUGCAUGUUGGGGUUUUCAUGCGUUACAUUUAUAAAUUUGAUGUCUGUAAUUGGCUUACGUUUUAGGACUUGAUAGUAAUACUAAAUGAAUUUGUUGGUGUGAAGGUGGUUUAGCUCAGGUACACACCGCCCGUCACCCUCGAUAUUUUUGAGGUAAGUCGUAACAAGGUAGCCCUAGAUGAAUCUGGGGCUAAUUGCUGUCAUUGUCUAUGAUGGCUGUA